rnacentral:rRNA from 1 species
UACAGAGGUCUCAAGCGUUGUUCGGAUUCAUUGGGCGUAAAGGGUGCGUAGGUGGCGAGGUUAGUCAGGUGUGAAAUCUCGGGGCUCAACCCCGAAACUGCACUUGAUACUGCCUUGCUAGAGUACUGGAGAGGAGAUUGGAAUUUACGGUGUAGCAGUGAAAUGCGUAGAUAUCGUAAGGAAGACCAGUGGCGAAGGCGAAUCUCUGGACAGUUACUGACACUGAGGCACGAAGCCAGGGGAGCAAAACGGG